ACGGAAGGCAGCAGUGAGGAAUAUUGGUCAAUGGGCGAGAGCCUGAACCAGCCAAGUCGCGUGAAGGAUGAAGGUUCUAUGGAUUGUAAACUUCUUUUGUUCGAGGGUAAAGUGAGGGAUGCGUCUCUUAUUGCAAGUAUCGAACGAAUAAGCAUCGGCUAACUCCGUGCCAGCAGCCGCGGUAAUACGGAGGAUGCGAGCGUUAUCCGGAUUUAUUGGGUUUAAAGGGUGCGUAGGCGGGAUGUUAAGUCAGCGGUGAAAGCGUGUAGCUCAACUAUACCAAGCCGUUGAAACUGGCGUUCUUGAGUGUAAACGAGGUAGGCGGAAUGUGACGUGUAGCGGUGAAAUGCUUAGAUAUGUCACAGAACCCCGCUUGCGAAGGCAACUUACCAGGAUACAACUGACGCUGAGGCACGAAAGCGUGGGUAUCAAACAGGAUUAGAUACCCUGGUA
rnacentral:rRNA from 1 species